UUUUUGUUUUUUUUUUUUUUUUUUUAAUGUAAGCAGACAGAAUGGUUGAGAGACAUUUGACUCACAUUUACCACUGUCUUGAAGUCCCUUUAAGGACCAUUUUCUCUUAUUUAAUAUGCCUUUAAUGUGCUAUUAGACUAACCAUUUACUUAUAAUAGUGCUUCAUUUACCUAAAGCACCAUUUCUACAGCUUUAUUUUGCAACUAGAGAAUCAGUUAUCAAUUUGUUUCUGAAGGGAGUUUAAGAAAGUGGAUACAGGGUGUUGCAUCAAACACAGUCAAAAAGAAAACUCACGUAUUUAACAUCAAGAGACAGCUUGUGGAAGAACUUAGAAAAACUUUAAAUGCUUCAAAUUUCAGAUAACUAUAAUUUUAAGUAAGUUACUGAAUUUUUUUUCCUAUUCUUUAUCUUUAUGUGAGAGGUAAUCAUCUCACAUAAAGAUGCUUAAAAAGAAUUUUGGAAGUUGAACAAGGGAAUUUGAAUUCUAUGAGGAUCUCUCAGCCACACAUAAGCUAACUGGCUGCCAUAGAUACUCUGAUUUCGACUGACAAAAAAAGAAUCAGGUAAAUUUGUUUUGUUCUUAAAGGAAGUUUAGACCCUAAGCCUCAAGGUAGAUGACCCUGUGCACAAUUAAAGUCACAUACAUACCCCAUCUGGAUAUAUGAAUAUAAUCAGAUAGGGCUCUGGAUCUCUGCUAGUGUCACAAGUCUAUAGCCAUUCCUUUAUUUUGCUAUAUCUUGAAACUGAUUCAUUUCUUCUAUGUAUAGAGAAUUUUGACAUUCUCUCUUCUUAACCUCCAAGUUAUAUACAGCCAACUCCCACCUCAUUCUACAAUGCUCAGUGCUACAAAGGACAACCAUAUUUUCCAGCACAGAACAAACUGCUCAAGCACAUCAAAUCUGGGGCAUAUGUCAGGCAUACAUGGGUAUUAAAAGACCAAGCAUUCUGUCAUCAACUAUUCAAGCUGCAAAGCCCUAGAAUUUAUCUUCUCCCCUCAAUAGCUAUAUAUGUCAUUUUAGCUCUGCGUCUCAUAUUACAAAUAUUACAAAAUAGGACUUAUUUCCUCAAAUAUUUUUUUUUCAAUUGUAACUAUAUCAUGGACUUUAACAAAAGUCACUAGUCUCAAGGGUUAACAGACUUUGGUGAGUUUAUACAAUCAUUCAAAUGAAAAGGUCAAAUCAAACCUUAAAUCAUCUUGAAUGCCUCUUUCUAUCAUUUCACAUCCAAUCGAUUAGCAAUUUUCUUUGACUCAACCUUUGAAAUAGGCCCAGAGUCUGUCUACCUUCACACCUGCAUCGCUGUUACUCAGUCCAAAGCCUCUGGCGUCUACCUGGACUCUUACAAUGGCCUCCAACUGGUCUUCCUUCUUGGCUGACAAACAAUAGUCCAGGCAAUUUUUAAAAAGCAUAGUUCAGAUCAUGUCACCUCUCUGCUUAAAAAACCUUGCAAGGCUUCUCUUCCUACUGAGAACAAAAAUCCCAUCUUAACUGUGAGGCUGGUUCUGAGCUCUGUAUACAUCACCUUUCUUCCUCCCAUUCUCCACUGCCCACUCUAGCUUCCUUGGCCAUCUGGCUGCUCCUUGACUAGCCCAGACACAAUCCCACCUCUGAGCUCUUUUCACCUGUUUGCUCUACUGCAAAGUCUCUUCUCCUAGAUAUAAGCCUGCACAGUGCCUGCUUCUCAUUCAGGUCUAAAAGUCACCUCCUCUCCAAGGCGUCUUUGACCAUCUAAUCCAAAUUAGGAUGUCCACGGCCAUUCUUGAAUUUAGAUUGCUUUGCUUUGCUGCUUCGAAAAAGUUUAGCAUGUACAAUACGUGGCAUACCUAGUAUCCAUUUUUAGGGACAGAAACAGAAUGGAAAUGAUAGCCAGGACCUCAUCUAUUCCUUCAAUACAACAUUUACUGUCCCUUUGUGCCAGACACAGUUCUCGAUACUGAUGAUACAACCAAUGACAAAAUAAGUAAAAAUAUCUGACCUAAGGGAGUUUAUAUUCCUAAUCGGGAGAGACGUAAAGUAAAAUAUAAUCUGAUGGCAGUGACUGCUUUGCAGACAAAAAAAUCAGGGAAAGGGAAAGUGGAUGUGGCAAGGCAGAGAAGAGGGAUUCUGGUUGCCAGUAGAGGAGGCAGGAAAAGCAUCACUAAGAAGGUGACAUUUGAGUAGGGGCCUUGAUCACUUGUGAUUCCCAGUCUAAUGGUAAGUAUUCACUAGGUAUUUCCUGAGUGAAUGAAUGGAUAAAUGAAAUUAAGGCAGAAUUCCCAAGCAUGCAUCUCAAGCAAAAAAAUCAAGUGUCUAUAUUGCUACUUCUGACAGUGUCCCCAAAAUGUUACUCUGUGAAAAAAAACUUAUUCAUUGGCAAAGGCAACCCAGGGUCAAUUCUGCAUAAUUCCUAAGUGGCUUUUAGUAAGUAUGUUAUCCAUAAACAGCUUAUGAACCUCAUAGAUUUAAUCCUUUUAGUUUUACAAAACAAUGUGAUAGAAAAAGUAUUUUCAAUAUUCCUGGAUAUAGUAAAUAGCAACAGCAUUCUGCUUCCUGCCUGUGAGAGUGGGCAUAUGACAUAUACUUGAACAAUAAAAUAUGCACCAGCCCCUCUAAAUUUUUAUGUGCCCAUAAGGGGGCAGGAUCUAUUACCCAAGCAAAGAUAAUCAGGUUACUACCAUUGUUUAUGAUAUGUGUGUGUGUGUGUGUGUGUGUCAUUCAGGGUCACGAACAAAGAAAAGGAAAGGAGGAUAGGAUAAGGCAAGCAGGAAAAGAGAAAAAUUAGUCAUGAUUUUGUUUGAGUUCCUAGAUCCAGCUGUACCUGAAACUAUACCCUCAUUGCCACCUGCUUUUAUUGGCUAUAGAGGUUGAAAUUAGUCUCUGAGAUUUGUGACUAAAGCUGAUUUAUGAACACAUUUACAAAGUAAAGGACUAAUUUUUUAUAUGUUUCUCAGCUUUGUUUGGCACAUGCAAAUAUUAAACUAUAAUUCUAUUUGGCUUUAAAUGCAAAAGCAAUGAAUCUUUGAUUUUACCGCAGUAUACUUGGAUAUAUAAUUUUUUCCACAGCUGAAAAUAUAAUAAUUCUGUGAAACUUUGACUAAUAAUGAUUUUAUUACACAAUUCCACAUCAGGCAAAUAUUUGCAUAUGCCCAAGGACUCACAAUGUUGGUGUAUAGUAAUCCAAAGAUGGAUUACAGUAUUUGGCAUACUUCCUUACUAUGAGGUAUGGGUAAUUUGUCUGGAUUCCAUUUAUGCCACUUUUUACUUAACUUCCAUGCAAUCUUCUAUUGCAAUCUAUCCCACAGAAAAUAAAAAAGUUCUCAAAUAUUUGUAAGCAAGGUACCCAUGAUAUAUAAUGCAGAAUUUGUAUUUAUUAUCAAGAAUAUUCAACACAAUAACUCCAUUUAUUUCUGCCACCUAGUGAUGCAAACAUGCUUUUCUAUAAUAACCAUAUUUUCUUGGGUAAGCUUAUUUUUGCAUGCAUGCUUUAUGAAAGUCUGCCAUGGACCUGAUGACAUCCUACAUGAAUAAGCCAUGAGAAGAUACUCGUGUGGGGUCUUGAGUCAACACUGCCAGACUAGAAAUACCAGGAUUCCUCUCAUUACUACACAUCUGUCACUCACACCCAUGUCUGGGUGGCCAGAAAAUAGUAAGUACUAGAAAGAGAGAUUUGUUUUUCAAUAAAUGAGAGACUAGGAAUGUUUCUUUCUUGCUCUCAUCCAUCGACUUUUAUUCACAUAUCUUGCGUUGUGGAAAAGAAUGCUGUGGCUAGACUUCUGAUUUGACAAAAAGGAGGAGGCCUUGGAAUCCCUCAGACUGAGUCCCAAGUCUUUACAGCAAAGAUCUGAAAUCCCAGAGCUUACAAAUGUAUUUUUAAUGACCUUCCAGUAAGAGAAAAGAGAGAGAAAAUGCUGGCAUGUAGACAUAAAUCCAGGAAGCUGGUUUCUCUACUAGGUGCAUGCAGGGACAAUUCAGUUGAGCACAUCCCAGCUAGUAAUUACCUCACUUUCACUAGAUGAUGCUUCAUGAAACAAACUGGAUGGUUGAAAUAAAGUUUUUAAAAAAUCAGCACAUGGUGAUGGAACCACAUGUGUUAUUCCAAGGAACUAUAACUGGAAACUGAUUCUUUUUUUUUUUUUGGCCGUAGUCUCAUUUCAACAAUUUAAGUCACACAUAAAAAAAGCACUCAUUCAUGAAAAGAGAGAAGAAAAUUCUCAAUAACUAAUGAAUUUUUUCAGAAUGGUGAUUCAUCUGUUUGACUUCUGAAACAUAGGUCCUCAUAAGAAUCAAUCAAUAAUUCAACCAUGUAUUAACUUAUUGAGACAUAACCGCUCACUAUUUAUAAUCACUUCCAUCAUCAACAAAAAUGAAGUAGGGAAGAGAGAGAGGAGGGCAAGAAAGGAUGAAGUGAGAAAGGGAGGAAAGAGUGAGGCUGGAAAGGGAAAAGGAUAGAAAAGAACAGAAAAGGAAAGAAAGGAAACCUCAAGGAAAAAAAGAUCAACCUAAAAUUCAUAACUUGAUGUAUUGAUUUCUAAAGUUCACACAAAAAUAUGACAAAUGAGACUAUUUCAAAAUUACUAGAAAGCGUUCAGUCACACACUCACCAAAAGCCGAGCAACAAACAAAACUAUUAAGCAUCUAUCUAUAAAGUGACUUUGACAAACUUAAUAAAAAAAAAAAGUCAACCCCCAAAAUAAAUGUAAUGAGACUAGAAGAAUUAUUUCUGAAAUGAUUGCCACAGCUGCAUGGUGGUUUUAAGUAAAGCUUUCAGAGUUGCAUUCCUGAGGCUUGAUAAUUGAAACAAUUUGAUUUUCUACACAUAUAAAUAUACAUUACCGUUAAUUAGCAACGUAAAUCAAAAUUGAUACAAAUACUACGGACUGCAACUUUGUUUGCAAACCAUCUCUGGAUUCAGGCAAUUCCCAGAAAGUCUUCUCCAUCAGCACUGCCAGUUGAAAUUUGUUCUAUAAAAUUGCUUUCUCCCUAAUUCCCUGACGGGGACCGGGGGUCAAGCCAUAUACUGAGAGUUUAUUCAGGGGAAGAAGCAGGAAGCAGUUCCACCGCCAUAAAUAAGCCUGUUAUCCUUUGCCAUCUUCUAGGCAGGGAGCUGCUGCUCCUAACUGCAGCAUAGACAUCCCGAUGGCUCAUGUCUGGCCUUGGGAAGCCAAGGUACAGGGAGAGGCAUUAAUCUCCUCUGUUUUAGGGUUGGACAGCUAAUACCUUCUUCAAGAGUAAGAACGGCCACUUGCAUAAAACAUACAGGAUACCUAGAAGGAGGGCGCAGAGAAGUGGAAAAUGAAAAGAAGGUAUAGAAUAUGCUGCCUCUCUCCAUGAACAACAGCCAUCACAAUGAAAGCACAUUGUUUAGGAAUACAGGUCAAACUCUGU
rnacentral:lncRNA from 1 species